GAUGAACGCUGGCGGCGUGCCUAAUACAUGCAAGUCGAGCGAAGAGACGAGGAGCUUGCUCCUCUGACGUUAGCGGCGGACGGGUGAGUAACACGUGGAUAACCUACCUAUAAGACUGGGAUAACUUCGGGAAACCGGAGCUAAUACCGGAAAAUAUAUUGAACCGCAUGGUGCAAUAGUGAAAGACGGUUUUGCUGUCACUUAUAGAUGGAUCCGCGCCGCAUUAGCUAGUUGGUAAGGUAACGGCUUACCAAGGCAACGAUGCGUAGCCGACCUGAGAGGGUGAUCGGCCACACUGGAACUGAGACACGGUCCAGACUCCUACGGGAGGCAGCCGUAGGGACUCUUCCGCAAUGGGCGAAAGCCUGACGGAGCAACGCCGCGUGAGUGAUGAAGGUCUUCGGAUCGUAAAACUCUGUUAUUAGGGAAGAACAAAUGUGUAAGUAACUAUGCACGUCUUGACGGUACCUAAUCAGAAAGCCACGGCUAACUACGUG
rnacentral:rRNA from 1 species